AGUAAAGUGGGCAGAAAAGUGCCUCAGAUUUAAGCUCUGAUCAGGGAGACCACUCCCUUUACUAC
rnacentral:tRNA from 1 species